rnacentral:rRNA from 1 species
GGGCCCGCACAAGCGGUGGAGUAUGUGGUUUAAUUCGAUGCAACGCGAAGAACCUUACCAGGGCUUGACAUCCUGCGAACCUCUGGGAAACCGGAGGGUGCCUUCGGGAACGCAGUGACAGGUGGUGCAUGGCUGUCGUCAGCUCGUGUCGUGAGAUGUUGGGUUAAGUCCCGCAACGAGCGCAACCCACGUCUUUAGUUGCCAGCAUUUAGUUGGGCACUCUAGAGAGACCGCCGGUGACAAACCGGAGGAAGGUGUGGAUGACGUCAAGUCAUCAUGCCCCUUACGUCCUGGGCUACACACGUACUACAAUGCUACGGACAAAGGGCAGCAAGUUCGCGAGGACAAGCA